CAGCCGCCGCGGUAAUACGGAGGGUGCAAGCGUUAAUCGGAAUUACUGGGCGUAAAGCGCACGCAGGCGGUUUGUUAAGUCAGAUGUGAAAUCCCCGAGCUUAACUUGGGAACUGCAUUUGAAACUGGCAAGCUAGAGUCUUGUAGAGGGGGGUAGAAUUCCAGGUGUAGCGGUGAAAUGCGUAGAGAUCUGGAGGAAUACCGGUGGCGAAGGCGGCCCCCUGGACAAAGACUGACGCUCAGGUGCGAAAGCGUGGGGAGCAAACAGGAUUAGAUACCCGCGUAGUCCCUGUCUCUUAUAC
rnacentral:rRNA from 1 species